CCUCGCCUGCCCGCCGCCGCCCACCCCCGGCCCGGCGAUCGCCCCGCCGCAUUCCUGCGCGCUGCCUGCUGCCGACCCGGUGACUCACGGCCCAGGCAGCCCGGGAACGCCCGGCCUCGUCCUGGGCCCGCAGCCGCUGGUUUUCCUAUUUGGAAACUCCUUAGCCGCCUCCGCGCCAGCCACCCGGUCUCCUCCCAGGUCCCCCGUAGGCGGCUGGGAAGGAGGGCAGGGAAGCCUGGGGACAAGCGCCUUUUCUGCGGAGGGGGACCCACGACCGGCCUUAGAGAGGAUGGGUGUAUGCUUCCUUGUCCCCAAUUCAAGAAUCUCCAAAUGCCCGGCAGCCACAUUUACAGGAUGGCAAAACCUGGCUUGAACUGCAAAGAGACGGAGUUGCAGUCUUUAUCCUGCUGAAAUGUGGACGCUUAUACAUUUUGCUGCAGAAAUGUACCCAUCUUGAGUACAGGAGAGUCUGUCCUAGGUUCCCCGGGAGGUGCUGUAUCAUAUACAAUUGAUGCAUAUUUUAGAAUCUCCUUUCUAAAAUCUGAAAAAUUCUGAAUUUGAAAACCCAUCUGGCUCCCAGGAGUCUAGAUCCACUGCCUUGGUGAAGACCCUGCCCUCUCUUUCCUGGCAGCCUGGCAUCCCGUGAAGUCCUAUGGCCUAAUGUGUAGACUCUGCCUUCAGACCUCCCAAGUGCAUCUGGGGCCACCACUCCCGGCUUUGUGUGGCAGUUUGAAAACGUACCCACAAAUUCUUUGGCACCGUGCCCGUCAAGAAAUGGGGCCUACGUCUUCUCUCCUCGAAGCUGAGCCAACCUUAGAGAGGCCGGUGACAAUAGGGGACGGCAGAAGUUAUUGUGAUAGGACUUCCAAGGCUAGGUCUUAAGGACACUUCAGCUUCCUUCGAGUUCUCCAGGGACAGUGACCUUUGGCACUAGGAGCUGCCAUGUAAACGGUACAAACUCCGCCAUAUUUGUGGAGGUGUCUGGCCAGCAGUCCCAGCCAAGGUCCGUGUGGCCAGCCAAUGUCAACUGGAGACAGCGAGGGGCUCUGCACUUAGGAAUGGAUGAGCCAGGGGGACCUGCCAGGGUGCUGGGAGCUUCUCCAUCAGGGCCCCAUGGGCUCAGAGGGUCAGAGCCCCCCCACAUCUGAGCUCACAAUAGUGAGAGAGCUUGGCUCUGGAGGUUGCUCCCACCCUUCCUCUGGGCAGAGUCACUGGGUUAGAAGGGACCAACGAUCUGGCCUGUUGAAACACGCUCACUCUCUAAUCUGUGUUUCCUUUAUACUCUACCCAGUAGAGUAUGAACUCCACAAAGACAGGAGCUCACCGGAGUUUAUCUAUGUUGUAGUCUGCUACAUCUCCAGUACUUACAACAGUGACAGUAGGUGCUCAGUGAACAUUCACUGAGUAAGUAAAUGGAUGGAUGGAUGG